rnacentral:rRNA from 1 species
GUGCCAGCAGCCGCGGUAAUACGUAGGGUCCGAGCGUUGUCCGGAAUUAUUGGGCGUAAAGGGCUCGUAGGCGGUUUGUCGCGUCGGGAGUGAAAACAGCCAGCUUAACUGGUUGCUUGCUUUCGAUACGGGCAGACUAGAGGUAUGCAGGGGAGAAUGGAAUUCCUGGUGUAGCGGUGAAAUGCGCAGAUAUCAGGAGGAACACCGGUGGCGAAGGCGGUUCUCUGGGCAUUACCUGACGCUGAGGAGCGAAAGUGUGGGAGCGAAACAGGAUUAGAUACCCCUGGUAGUCCACACCGUAAACGUUGGGCGCUAGGUGUGGGAUCCGUUUCCACGGGUUCCGUGCCGUAGCUAACGCAUUAAGCG